rnacentral:lncRNA from 1 species
GUUGGUCAGUUAUCAUUAUCGUAAGCUUCUAAUAUGUAUUGAAGUUUUGACUUCCGGUUCGUUUUUGAAUUAACUGAUUGAUUAUAAUUAUAUUUCAAAUUGGAGAUACAGUAUAAUUCAUUUGAAUAAAAUUUAUUGUUUUAUUUUUCAUUUAUUGCUGUCACUUGUCCAGUCUUUAGAGUUACCUAUUAAGAUAAUACUUUG